rnacentral:rRNA from 1 species
GAUGAACGCUGGCGGCGUGCCUAAUACAUGCAAGUCGAGCGAACAGACGAGGAGCUUGCUCCUCUGACGUUAGCGGCGGACGGGUGAGUAACACGUGGAUAACCUACCUAUAAGACUGGGGUAACUUCGGGAAACCGGAGCUAAAACCGGAUAAUAUAUUGAACCGCAUGGUUCAAUAGUGAAAGACGGUUUUGCUGUCACUUAUAGAUGGAUCCGCGCCGCAUUAGCUAGUUGGUAAGGUAACGGCUUACCAAGGCAACGAUGCGUAGCCGACCUGAGAGGGUGAUCGGCCACACUGGAACUGAGACACGGUCCAGACUCCUACGGGAGGCAGCAGUAGGGAAUCUUCCGCAAUGGGCGAAAGCUUGACGGAGCAACGCCGCGUGAGUGAUGAAGGUCUUCGGAUCGUAAAACUCUGUUAUUAGGGAAGAACAAAUGUGUAAGUAACUAUGCACGUCUUGACGGUACCUAAUCAGAAAGCCACGGCUAACUACGUG